GUGUGCUGCAGCUGGUGUUGUGAAUCAGGCCGAUGCCACACACCUGCUAUAACCCGGCUAUUUCACAACACCAGGGUGGCACUG
rnacentral:pre_miRNA from 1 species